rnacentral:tRNA from 1 species
GGGGUUGUGGCUCAGUGGUAGAGUGCUCGCCUAGCACAUGUGAGGCACUGGGUUCAAUCCUCAGCAACACAU